rnacentral:rRNA from 1 species
UGGGGAAUAUUGCACAAUGGGCGCAAGCCUGAUGCAGCCAUGCCGCGUGUAUGAAGAAGGCCUUCGGGUUGUAAAGUACUUUCAGCGGGGAGAAGGCGUUGUGGUUAAUAACCACAGCGAUUGACGUUACCGCAGAAGAAGCACCGGCUGAAACUCCGUGCCAGCAGCCGCGGUAAUACGGAGGGUGCAAGCGUUAAUCGGAAUUACUGGGCGUAAAGCGCACGCAGGCGGUCUGUCAAGUCGGAUGUGAAAUCCCCGGGCUCAACCUGGGAACUGCAUUCGAAACUGGCAGGCUAGAGUCUUGUAGAGGGGGUAGAAUUCCAGGUGUAGCGGUGAAA